rnacentral:rRNA from 1 species
AACGAACGCUGGCGGCAGGCCUAACACAUGCAAGUCGAACGCCCCGCAAGGGAGUGGCAGACGGGUGAGUAACGCGUGGGAACGUACCCUUCGGUUCGGAAUAACCCGGGGAAACUCGGGCUAAUACCGGAUACGUCCGCAAGGAGAAAGAUUUAUCGCCGAAGGAUCGGCCCGCGUCGGAUUAGCUAGUUGGUGGGGUAAUGGCCCACCAAGGCGACGAUCCGUAGCUGGUCUGAGAGGAUGAUCAGCCACACUGGGACUGAGACACGGCCCAGACUCCUACGGGAGGCAGCAGUGGGGAAUAUUGGACAAUGGGCGAAAGCCUGAUCCAGCCAUGCCGCGUGAGUGAAGAAGGCCUUAGGGUUGUAAGCUCUUUCAGCGGGAAGAUAAUGACGGUACCCGCAGAAGAA